GUGAACGCUGGCGGUAGGCCUAACACAUGCAAGUCGAACGGCAGCACAGUAAGCGCUUGCUCUUACGGGUGGCGAGUGGCGGACGGGUGAGGAAUACAUCGGAAUCUACUUUUUCGUGGGGGAUAACGUAGGGAAACUUACGCUAAUACCGCAUACGACCUACGGGUGAAAGCAGGGGAUCUUCGGACCUUGCGCGAUUGAAUGAGCCGAUGUCGGAUUAGCUAGUUGGCGGGGUAAAGGCCCACCAAGGCGACGAUCCGUAGCUGGCCUGAGAGGAUGAUCAGCCCCACUGGAACUGAGACACGGUCCAGACUCCUACGGGAGGCAGCAGUGGGGAAUAUUGGACAAUGGGCGCAAGCCUGAUCCAGCCAUACCGCGUGGGUGAAGAAGGCCUGCGGGUUGUAAAGCCCUUUUGUUGGGAAAGAAAAGCAGCAGGUUAAUACCCCGCUGUUCUGACGGUACCCAAAGAAUAAGCACCGGCUAACUUCGU
rnacentral:rRNA from 1 species